rnacentral:tRNA from 1 species
UAGCAAGAAGUGAAGAAUCACAUUUGGUUUCGGCCCAAAUUAUGCCAAUGACUUGGCCUUGUUAU